AAUCAAUUCUCUCUUGCUAACAGAAGAGUAACAUGGAAAUGAUUCUGCAACAAAAUGAUAAAUCUUCCAGAUUUUCAUGUUUAUUUCGAAUGAGGCUAUUUGUUGGAUCACAACGGCAAUAUUUUCUUGAGAGGUUGGAAUUUUUGAAAGCCAUACAGAUGACAAGAGGAGGGAAAGAUAGAACAGAAGAAGCCAAAUGUUGAACAAGUCACCAAUAUUUCUGAUGCCAGAGCUCGGCACUAUAGCAACUAUGGUUUCAAUCCCCAAUUCAACUAUUCCCAGGUUUUAGAGAAAGCCUAAAAGCACAAGUGGGAGAUGGUCCAGAUCAAUAAAUGCUCCGCACUUCAAGUUACAGAAACCCAUAUCAAAAGAGGACUCAAGAAAUUAGUCUUUUUUAGAGUUUAUUGCCACUUUGGACUGUUUGGGUCUUAGAUUGGAUUAUGGGCAUCCCUUGUUUUUUUCUUUCUCUAGAACACACAUUGAUACAUGUUCAUUGUUGGAUUCGACUCUUUAUGUCUUCUUUUCAGUUGUUUAUUUUAUUUGUUUGUUAUUUAUAAAAUCAGAUACCUAGGAAAGAACAAGAAUAUGGAUAGUUGUACUCAAAUGGCCUUAUCAUGUGUUAUACGAUACGGAAACUCUUGUUUCUGUAGGAGACUUUUUUUGUGAGGCCUUACCUAUUCCUACAUUUCAUUAUGCCAUAUGUUUGCUAUAGACGAGAAUAAUGACUACAUCCCAACCUUCUAUAUCCUAAUGGAAAUGGACAGCAAAACUUGGUUCUUGUGA